GUAUCUCUCGUGCAGAGAGAACUUGCUGGCAUUUCGGAUCUGGACUGCCCGUAUGGGUGGGACCAGUCUGAUAUGCUUCAGAUAUGUUCUCUCUGUAAUGGCACAAGAUGAGCAAAAAUCAGCUUGAGAACUGAGCGGGGACCGACCGAAGGGCAGGCUAUUUCAGCUGCUGCCCGUCCUCAGUAUUCUCUUGUGACCCAUUUUUUGACUCUCCACAAGUUUAAAGGGAUAAUCCAGACGUGGACCCCUUGCUCACGGUGCCUAGGGAGAUAUCAGCUAUGCCUCACUGAUGAUGCCUAACAAGGCUGAAAGGAUCGUCUGGGGUUGCUGUAUCUCUCGUGCAGAGAGAACUUGCUGGCAUUUCGGAUCUGGACUGCCCGUAUGGGUGGGACCAGUCUGAUAUGCUUCAGAUAUGUUCUCUCUGUAAUGGCACAAGAUGAG